rnacentral:rRNA from 1 species
CCUACGGGUGGCAGCAGUGGGGGAUAUUGCACAAUGGGGGAAACCCUGAUGCAGCGACGCCGCGUGGGCGAAGAAGUAUUUCGGUAUGUAAAGCCCUGUCAGCAGGGAAGAAAAUGACGGUACCUGAAGAAGAAGCACCGGCUAACUACGUGCCAGCAGCCGCGGGAAUACGUAGGGGGCAAGCGUUAUCCGGAUUUACUGGGUGUAAAGGGGGCGCAGACGGCGAUGCAAGCCAGGAGUGAAAGCCCGGGGCCCAACCCCGGGACUGCUCUUGGAACUGCGUGGCUGGAGUGCAGGAGGGGCAGGCGGAAUGCCUGGUGUAGCGGUGAAAUGCGUAGAUAUCAGGAGGAACACCGGUGGCGAAGGCGGCCUGCUGGACUGCAACUGACGUUGAGGCCCGAAAGCGUGGGGAGCAAACAGGAUUAGAUACCCUGGUAGUC